rnacentral:rRNA from 1 species
AGUGAACGCUAGCGGCAGGCCUAACACAUGCAAGUCGAGCGGCAGCGCGUCCGACCACCCUCGGGUGGUCGGAUGGCGGCGAGCGGCGGACGGGUGAGGAAUGCAUCGGAAUCUGCCUCGUUGUGGGGGAUAACGUAGGGAAACUUACGCUAAUACCGCAUACGACCUACGGGUGAGAGUGGGGGACCUUCGGGCCUCACGCGAUGAGAUGAGCCGAUGCCGGAUUAGCUAGUUGGCGGGGUAAAGGCCCACCAAGGCGACGAUCCGUAGCUGGUCUGAGAGGAUGAUCAGCCACACUGGAACUGAGACACGGUCCAGACUCCUGCGGGAGGCAGCAGUGGGGAAUCUUAGACAAUGGGCGCAAGCCUGAUCUAGCCAUGCCGCGUGGACGAUGAAGGCCUUAGGGUUGUAAAGUCCUUUCAGAUGGGAAGAUAAUGACGGUACCAUCAGAAGAAGCCCCGGCUAACUCCGUGCCAGCAGCCG